rnacentral:rRNA from 1 species
AUUGAACGCUGGCGGCAUGCUUUACACAUGCAAGUCGAACGGCAGCGCGGGCUUCGGCCUGGCGGCGAGUGGCGAACGGGUGAGUAAUGCAUCGGAACGUGCCCAGUAGUGGGGGAUAGCCCGUCGAAAGCCGGAUUAAUACCGCAUACGACCUGAGGGUGAAAGCGGGGGACCGAAAGGCCUCGCGCUAUUGGAGCGGCCGAUGUCGGAUUAGCUAGUUGGUGGGGUAAAGGCUUACCAAGGCGACGAUCCGUAGCUGGUCUGAGAGGACGACCAGCCACACUGGGACUGAGACACGGCCCAGACUCCUACGGGAGGCAGCAGUGGGGAAUUUUGGACAAUGGGGGCAACCCUGAUCCAGCCAUGCCGCGUGCGGGAAGAAGGCCUUCGGGUUGUAAACCGCUUUUGUUCGGGAAGAAAUCCUCUGGGCUAAUACCCCGGGGGGAUGACGGUACCGGAAGAAUAAGCACCGGCUAACCACGUG